GUAGUUCUUCUGUCUUAGCGUCUCAGUCUGAUUGUAUUUCCAUGAAGAAAUGAUCAUAAAUGUUCUUCCUUGAGCUGCGGCACCCCGCUGUAGUUCGUAAUGGACUGGCCUGAGGUCUCUGUACAAACAAGCGUCUGCUGGAAGAGAGUAGGUGAGUUGUGUUUAGUCUCUUUACUAAAGAAAUGAGUCAAAGUUAAAAAGAUGUUUGGUGUCUAGUACUAUGUCUGUGACCCUAUAUGUCCUGUUGAUGAAGUUAGGUGCUGUUCUGAGCAUUAUUUGUGGCUAUAGAGUGGCGUUUUGGUUGAGGUUUGUUUAUGGCUCCUCAGACCGUUGUGUAUUACUAUCCUGUGGUCGUUACUAAAGUUGGUAUAACUAGAGAAGCAAGCGGUCGGCAACAUUCAUCUCUGGAGGGGGGGGGUCUAACUCGAUGUUGCGCUGUGUUUGACUCUAAAUUAGUUUUACACCGGAAUAUUCCUUUAAGAGGCUUUUGGACAUGAGGCAGGAAACAGGGAGAAGGAUCAGGGAGGGAUGAACGUUAUAUAUGUUGCAAACACAUAGACUGUAAGGCCAGUAGCAACCCCAGAAGGCUUACUUUAAGGACACUGUUGGUGCGCUCAGUGACAGACUUAUUGAUGGUAACCGUUUUUUAAAUACCAUGACUUAACAGUGUUGGCCUUUUGUGUUGGUUUCCAAAUGUCAUAAAACUUAGAAUAGACGAAGAAGACAUAGCAGACAGCUAGCAAGAUAGUCGGAUGCUACUUCACGAGUAAUUCAUGUAAGUGUUGUUUUAUUGUUUACAUAACUUUGUGGCCAUGAUAAUCUUGGGGUAAAUGUGGGGUGAAAUUGUGACUUCCGAGGGUUAAACCUCUGCGUUAAACUCACACAUGAGUUUUGGUGCCAAACAGCACAGACACACAGUUUUGUAUUUUUCACGUGCCAUUCUCCACACUAGUGCAGGAUAUCCUGCAGGAUAAAGUUGUCGUGAAUCUCCGCAGGUCACCGAGCCACACGUUACACAAACUCUUGGCACUCUUGUUUUUUGGCGAUUAGUGCACACUUCCUUUCCCCCCCUUAGCUAUCCUAUUAACCAGAGUAAAAAAUGCCCCAGAACAUGAAUAAAAAGACGCUUAAGUGGUCUUUUACUCUGAUUUUUUCAAAGGAUUCUUGGUUCAUUUGUAAUUGUGUAAAAAGAAAAAAAAAACAUUCAAAAUUCAUCCCCCGUUUUUCCUGAUUUGCAGAACAAAUCUCAUAUUUAGUAUCAGUGUCUCUGCAGAGACUUUUCAAGUCUUUAAAUGCUGCGAGCCUAAAAAACAGCCUCACAGUAAUGAGCUAAAUGUCCUCCAUACACAGCAGGGAGUAUAAUUAAAAAGUGCAAAUCAGCAGCAUUAAACAAACAUGAGGCUGACAAUGAUCCAGUGACUGCGCUGAGCCUCGACAUGCAGCAUGUUUGGAUGUGACAGAGUUAAGGAUCCUUCUGGACCAUCGGACAGAGAUGUUGGUCAAACGUAGGUGAAGGAGAGGAGACUGUGUGGGCUUUUGUCUACUCGGUUAAACCCUGACAAGAAGCUGACACCAAAAUGAGGCCGCUCCAUUUAACACAAAGUGUCUAAUUUGCCGCAGGGUGAAAAUAAGCAGCUUAAGAGCAUAUGAAGUUGCACUUUGUGUCGGAUGGUUGUGUGUUAUUUGUCAGCGGGCUGUAAUUACUCUGUCUGGAUUUUAUUGCGCCGAGCGCUCACAGAUGAAAAGAGGAGUGACGGCCGAGUCAAGAGGACAGACAGCGCCUGAGAGAGAGAGAGAAUAUGAUGUUCGAGGUUGGUGUUUACAGGACCUGAAAAGGGGUCAGGCGGUUUUAUGGGACGGACCUCGUGUCCUUGUUAUUAACCCUUCCGGGACCUUUAGAUUUUCCUCCCUCUAAAGUCCCUCGUGGCUGUUAAAAGCCACUUUUUCUGUCGGCUGUAAAAUCAUAUUGGAUUAAUAUUUUUUUCAGAUUUUUUUUCACAAAUUUCUUAUUUUACUUCUGCCCUGUUCGAAACUAGCAAAUGUUUCAUUGAAAACAAUUUUUUUUAACCCUUUAAGUGCCAAUUUAAGACAAAAAGUCACAAAUUUAGCAAAAAUUGAAGGAAAAUGACCCAUUUUUUUUAUAAGACAUGAUCAGAAACUGGUAAUCUCUUGCAGGGUAUUAAAGUCUUGAAUAUGUCAGAGAUUAGUAAUAUAAUUUACUUAUAUGCAUUUUCAGUUUUUCUGUAGCAUCAGAUUUAAUGAAAACUGCCUUUGGCGCCUCCCAGUGGCCAAAACCACUAUUUCUGCUGUAAAAUCAUAUUGGAUUAAUAUUUUUUUCAGAUUUUUUUUAUACAUUUCUUAUUUUACUUCUGCCCUGUUCAAAACUAGCAAAUGUUUCAUUGAAAAUAAAAAUUUUAACCCUUUAAGAGCCAAUUUAAGACAUAAAGUCACUUAAAAAGCAAAAAAAUGGAAGGAAAAAGAAGGAAAAUGACCCAUUUUUUAAAUAAAACAUGAUCAAAAACUGGUAAUCUCUUGCAGGGUAUUAAAGUCUUGAAUAUGUCAGAGAUUAGUAAUAUAAUUUACUUAUAUGCAUUUUCAGUUUUUCUGUAGCAUCAGAUUUAAUGAAAAACUGCCUUUGGCGCCUUCGAGUGGCCAAAGCUACUUUGUCUGCUGUAAAAUCAUAUUGGAUUAAUAUUUUUUUCAGAUUUUUUUUCAUACAUUUCUUAUUUUAAUUCUGCCCUGUUCAAAACUAUCAAAUGUUUCAUUAAAAAUAAAAAUUUUAACCCUUUAACGGCCAAUUUAAGACAUAAAGUCUCUUAUGAAGCAAAAAAAUGGACGGAAAAUGGAAGGAAAAUGACCUCUUUGCUUCAUAAGAGACUUUAUGUCUUAAAUUGGCCCUUAAAGGGUUAAAAUUUUUAUUUUCAAAGAAACAUUUGCUAGUUUUGAACAGGGUAGAAGUAAAAUAAGAGCUGUAUGAAAAAAAAUCUGAAAAAAAUAUUAAUCCAAUAUGAUUUUACAGCAGAAAUAGUGGUUUUGGCCACUGGGAGGCGCCAAACGCAGUUUUUCAUUAAAUCUGAUGCUACAGAAAAACUGAAAAUGCAUAUAAGUAAAUUAUAUUACUAAUCUCUGACAUAUUCAAGACUUUAAUACCCUGCAAGAGAUUACCAGUUUCUGAUCAUGUUUUAUUAAAAAAAUGGGUCAUUUUCCUUCAUUUUCCUUCCAUUUUAUUUGCUUUUUAAGUGACUUUAUGUCUUAAAUUGGUCCUUAAAGGGUUAAAAUGUUUAUUUUCAAUGAAACAUUUGCUAGUUUUGAACAGGGCAGAAUUAAAAUAAGAAAUGUAUGAAAAAAAUCUGAAAAAAAUAUUAAUCCAAUAUGAUUUUACAGCAGAAAAGGCAGUUUUGGCCACUGGGAGGCGCCAAAGGCAGUCUUUCAUCAAAUCUGAUGCUACAGAAAAACUUAAAAUGCAUUGAAUUCAAUUAUAUCACUAAUCGCUGACAUAUUCAAGACUUUAAUACCCUGCAAGAGAUUACCAGUUUCUGAUCAUGUUUUAUUUAAAAAAUGGGUCAUUUUCCUUAAAUUUUUCCUUCCAUUUUUUUUUGCUUUUUAAGUGACUUUAUGUCUUAAAUUGGCCCUUAAAGGGUUAAAAUUUUUAUUUUCAAUGAAACAUUUGCUAGUUUUGAACAGGGCAGAAGUAAAAUAAGAAAUGUAUGAAAAAAAAUCUGAAAAAAAUAUCAAUCCAAUAUGAUUUUACAGCAGACAAAGUAGUUUUGGCCACUGGGAGGCGCCAAACGCAGUUUUUCAUUAAAUCUGAUGCUACAGAAAAACUGAAAAUGCAUAUAAGUAAAUUAUAUUACUAAUCUCUGACAUAUUCAAGACUUUAAUACCCUGCAAGAGAUUACCAGUUUCUGAUCAUGUUUUAUUAAAAAAAUGGGUCAUUUUCCCUCAAUUUUUGCUAAAUUUGUGACUUUUUGUCUUAAAUUGGCACUUAAAGGGUUAAAAAAACUGUUUUUAAUGAAACAUUUGCUAGUUUCGAACAGGGCAGAAGUAAAAUAAGAGAUUUGUGAAAAAAAAUCAGAAAAAAAUAUUAAUCCAAUAUGAUUUUACAGCCGACAAAACAAGUGGCUUUCAACAGCCACGAGGGACUUUAGAGGACGUUUUUCUGUCCUGGCUUUAUUAUUGACUUGGUGAAAAUUUUGAAUUCAUGUUUUCAAAUAAAAUUUCAAAUUAAGCUUAGAAAAAAAAAUUCAUCACAUUUGCUGCAGUAAAAAAAAAGUUAUAUCCAAAUUAGUCUCUAGCUCUAUCAUAAAUUGGCUGUUAAAAGCCCGAAGGUUCCGCAAGGGAAUAUGUUCUCAAAAGAAGCAGCUGGACCGAGGUUUAGAUAACUCAUCUUUAUGUGAUUACCACUUUAGGAAAAAGGACAAAUAUAACACAACACUCUUAAUAUUACAGGCUUUAGAUCCAUUUUCACGUCACCAGACAGUCAUGUGACCUUGGAGAUACCUUAUAAUUUCACACAGUGAAUCAGGGUGUAAUGAGGCGCAGUCACGUUAUUAAUAAUGCAUGUUUGCGGUUUAAAGCUGUAGUGCGUGACUUCUACAUGUCUGUAAAUAUCCGUUUUACCAAAGCCUACAAGAGGAGAAGAUACAACGCUGAUUAAGCCGUUUGGCUUCUCUAACACCUGGACAUAUUUUUCAGUAUUCGGUUUUACCUGACGACGAGAAGGAAGGGGGGAGGAGAGCGCUGCUGGAAGCAACAUGACGGAGAUCCCGAAGAAGCAACCAAGAGGCUCAGAAGUGGAUCCUACUAAAAAGAAAAAGGCCUCCAGUUCAGCGAAGAAAGAAAGUGACAAACAGAGAAGACUAUCGGCGUCACUUUUCCUUGAUGAAGAGCCCUGAAGGUAGGGUGACCAUACGUCCUCUUUUACCCUGACAUGUCCUCUUUUCUGGGGGCUGUCUGAGUUUGACAGCUUAGUCCAGAAAAGUUUAUAAAAUCUUCCAUCCUUGUACUUACGUUUUGAGUUUGUCUCACGUGGACUUACUGAGUUAGAAGCGAGUAAAAGACACUCGAUCCGACCCAAAAACCUCAAAUUUAACUUCAUGCGACACCGCCCCUGCGUAGUCGUGUCCUCUUUAAUAUGGUCACCCUACUGAAGAAGGUGGAGCUUGAGGUUCCACACCGAUGUUGCCCUGAUACUGCUGGAUAGAUAGAUAGAUAGAUAGACAGAUAGAUAGAUAGAUAGAUAGAUAGAUAGAUAGACUUAAUUGAUCCCAAACUGGGAAAUUCACACUGAUCUCUGCUCUGAUCGUACCUAUUCAAGUUAAUAUGUUGAUUUCCACCGGACACAAAAUAAAACAUCCAGCUUCUUUUCAAAAUAAAACACUCCGUGUUUCAGGAGGAUCGUAUUUCACACCAUGCAAACGGGCGGAGACGAACAAGUGAAAGGUUUUUAGACGUCAUUUCACCCCGAUGACACCAUGGAUGAGGAGAUGCUGAUUCUAGAAGUCUAGAAGUAGAUUUCCUCCUCUGGAAGGACACAAUCUACUGCUUAUAUGUCUAUGUGUCUGUCUUUACAGAGACAAUUUGUUAUUGUGAGAUUGUGCGCAAGUUCUCGCGAUUUCCGCUGUCCGAAACGCAUACUGUAGGAAUUGGCAGAUGGCGGAAAUCGCUGCCAUUCCGUAGCGGAGCCGUUCCGAUUGGGUGGAAAUUGGGAGUCAUUCCAUGUACGUGUUACACUGGGCCAUACAUCAUAAUGAGGUACCAGCCAUUUCGAUAUAACGAUGCAGAAAUCCUCUAGGGGGCGAAAGAGGUUACGCACUAUAGCUUUAACAUGAAUCUGACCAAUCAGGGCUUCUGCUCUAAUCCUCUUUAGCAGUCACAUGACAGGUGUGUUACUAUUUACACAGCACACUUCAGCCUAACUCUCAUCCUUCUACUGUUCCUCUACAAACUCUGAAAACACACACAGGUCACUGUAUGGAUUCUGUUAAAACAAUCAGCGACUCUCCGAAUAAACAGAACUUCCUCGUGCAAACAUACGUCCAACAUUUGUGCACGUUUAUAACCUCCUGAACAUGAAACUCCGACGUGAAAGACACCGAGCAGGAAUAUCAUGUGGUUAAAGACCAAGAACUGCGAUCACAGGUCAAAGACACGGGGCGCUCAAUCUUACCGCCGAGUUAAACUGCCGAACCAUCCAGAGGGCUUUUGUUCAGAAUUCGCCAAUUUUCUCUGCCGGGGUCAUCGUGAUGCUGUGAAACUGUUCCCGCACGGGUCAUCCAAUAAACGACUCUGCUGGCACUGAAGGAAAAUUUGAGGAAAUGUCUGAAGAAAUACCUGAACACCAAAUCAACAAGACUGCGACGCAGGAAACACAAGUCAAGGAAAAGUCUCCUGCUGCUUUGAAACCACCUUUGGAGGUUUUGACGAUUCACGUCACAUGUAACCUAGUUUGAGAAAAAGCCAACCCCAUCUGCCGGAGGAGACGCAAACAGAUGAUUACAGGUGUGGUAAACAAACCUGAAGGUUACUCCUCAGUGUUUGAAGGAGAAAACAAAGACAGGUGAUUAAAUUAAGUCCCUGAAUGUUUGUCGUAAACAUCUUUCAUUUCUGACCCUGCAGACGGAGGGAUUAUUAGCAGAUGUCUUUCUUUGGGUUUAACCUCUAAAAGAAAGGUUCUGUUCAAAGGUGAGGAUUUCUACUUGUUUACAACUCGUCUGCAAGAGACUCCAAAACUAAAUAAACCUUUUUUAUUAUUCCUGAACCCGACACACAUGCCGGCACCUCCACUUUUGAACACCUCCUUAUAUUCUCUUCUCCUCAUUUCUGAACCGCAGACAUGUUUCCCUCCUUCCUUUAUUUCCUGCAGCCAUCCUCUUCUUUUUUCUCCUUUUGUGAGUCAAAGUGCAAAAUCAAUCCAGCAGGCAUGCGAGGGAAAGAGGGACCAGCACAAUGGCCCCAUCAUCACCUGUUGUCACAUUGUCCUCCACGCUCUGCAGGACGGCGUUUGUCCUCGGCGUCCUGAGCGCCUCGCUUUGUUUCAUUCAGCUCCACUUCGGGGACGAGCUCCCAGCGCUCCCCGAGCUCGGACCAUUAUGUGGUUUGGCAGCAGAGAGCUUGUCACAGCAGUCAGGGCUCUCAGUGGUGCACACGGGUUAAUUGGUUCUUGGCUCGAUGGAGCACCUUUAGGCGAGAGCGCAGGGGGGGGAAUGUAAGAAUGGAUGCAGCAGGAUCCUCCCUCCGUCUUCCUUUGUGGGAAACACACCAACAAGACACAAGAGCCACACUUUUGAGAAACAAACGAACAAUUGUAAAGAUAUGAAGUUAUACAUCUGCAGUGAGGGGGAUACCAGAGUUUCUUGAAACAGACUGAUUGUAUGGAGACCUCGGGCCAGUCCAUUACGGACUACAGCGGGGUGACGCAGCUCAAGGAAGAACAUUUAUGAUCAUGUCUUUAUCCAUGAAAUAAUAAUCAUCAUAUUAAUCAUUUUACAGACGCCGUAGUUCUUCUGUCUUAGCGUCUCGAUCUGAUUGUAUUUCCAUGAAGAAAUGAUCAUAAAUGUUCUUCCUUGAGCUGUGAAACUCCGCUGUAGUCCGUAAUGGACUGGCCUGAAGUCUCGCUACAAACAAGCGUCUGCUGGAAGAGAGUAAGUAAUCUACUAGGAAUUCAGGAUUUGUUUGGCCAUCUAGGACCCACUGAGAAACGUAGGAAAGUUGGUUCUUGUGUGAAAUACUUGAUUCUGAUUGGUCAAAACUCCAACACAAAAACUGAAAACCAGAUCAGGCUCCUCAUCACAUCAGUCGAUGGAAAGAGGUCACCUCUAUUGUUAUGACUCUAAUGUUAAAUUUAGUCUCUAAUCUGCGUAAUCACCUGUUCACGAUAAAUCAUCUGUGUUUGUCCCAAUAUAAAAGCACCAAGUGAUCGAUUUAUUGUCAACAGGAAGUUUCUCCUUCUGUGGCAUCCCUCCAACUCAUUACUCCUGGACUAUUUCAAGUGAACAUUAACCAAACCUUAACUCUAACUCUGGUUGACCUCAUGUACCAAAACAAUCAACAAACACGUUAGCAAAAGGCGAAAAGUUUCAAUUUGAAAGAAUGAAAACACUGACGACUUUACAGCGCUGUCACUUUCAUGGGAUAGGAACCAAAUUCAACAACUCAUCAUAGUCCAGACUGCAGAAUAUUUGGCACUUUUAUUAUCAUUUCAAUGUGAAUGUUUGCAGUUUGUUUAUUAUUUCGUAAUGAUGUAUUUUAUACUUUUUACACUGAACGAUGUAAACCUGUUUGAAUUGUUGGUACGGUGUGCUCUUUGAAGAAAUGCUUAAUCACGUGUGUCUGGUGUAAAAUCUGAUUUCAUUUAUCAUGCAAUAACUUUUUAGUGCAUAUCAGUUUUUCCCCAAAAUCAUGCAGCCCUAAGUUGUGAUAAAUGUUGCUGCAGUUUUCAGUUUUCAGAUAGUUUGUACAGUUUUUAGAUUAGACGAGGCCCCGUAACAGAACCCUGUGGGACACCUUCAGUAUCCUUAGAUUCAGAUAUGUAUUUAUACCAUCUGUUAAGUGAUUUUUAAGCCUGCUAAGAGUCUUAAAACCUCAAACUAAAUAUUCUGAGUCUGAUUAGCAGCCGUCACAAAGCUCAGAUAAUUCAACAAAUAACAUUUUUGUUCAUAUUUAAUGAGAAAAUGACUAAAACUGAUCUGUUUGGAGUUGCUGGGUUGACACCUGAACCCUCUUGCAGAAAUUUCAGCCGUUAAAAAAUGCCUGUCUCGUCACUGAUGGUCUUGGUUUUUGUUUUGUUUUAUCGUCUAAAAGCAUCAGUUUGAAUUUGAGUCUAUUUUCCAGUCACCUCCUCAGAGUCAGUUUGUAAUGAAAGAGCAGCGAAUCGCUGCGUCAUGCAGGUACCACACGGCAGAGUCAAGGUUAUAUUCUUGGUACAAAACGACUGAAAGGCUUCCAGGAUAAUCCCGGAGGCACGGCAAUCAAACUUCAGAUCCCUGAAAACAGACGGUCCCUGCAGUUAGGGAGGAGGAGGAGGAGGAGGAGGAGGAGGAGGAGCAGUGUGAAAUGUUUGGCAUGCGGAUGGGACGAGGGGUUUUUUGGCGUCACACCUAGAAGAGAGGAUAAAGGGUGGAGUUUGACAUGCAGUGUGCUGAGGAGGAGAUGUAGGAAGCAGAGUCACGGUGAGGACAGUGGGGUGUUUUGUUGUGCAGAGCGGGGGGUGGGGGGGACAGAAAGUGCAAACGCUCGCUUUCUUUAAGCUGCUGCAGACUUGUUGAAAAUCUGCUUAGCUGGGAAGAGUUUCUCCAUAAAGUUAAAGCGAGACGUCACUGGAGUUAUUUGGAGGACUUUCAGGCUGUAACUUCAUGAAGAUUAUGAGAGUAACAGAUGCAGCCCUCCUGUUUGUGUUCAGUUCAGCUUAUUUAGAACUUUUUAUCAGGACUUAUGGAUGUUUUACCAACGAAAAACCCACGAGAGACAAACCUGUUAUAACCUGACUUGAACCAGACUGAGCUGCGGCUGUCUAAAUGUUUUACAAGCUUCAUGUUUUGUUUUAUUAUUAAAUUAUAUGUUUCCAUAUUUAUUUAGACUAAUGCCGAUACCACCUACUGUUAAUCUUCUCCUCACUGUUAUCAGCGUCACCUUUUGAACCUUUUGAGAUUCGAAGUUAAAGGGAUAUUCUGGCAUAAAAUUAAUUUAGGGUCAAACACACGGUAACACCGAGUCAGACCCCCCCUCCAGAGAUGAAUGUUGUCGACCGCUUGCUUCUCUAGUUAUACCAACUUUAGUAACGACCGCAGGAUAGUAAUACAGAGAGCCACGCCCUCAACCAAAACGCCACUCUAUAGCCACAAAUAAUGCUCAGAACAGCACCUAACUUCAUCAACAGGACAUAUAGGGUCACAGACAUAGUACUAGACACCAAACAUCUUUUUAACUUUGACUCAUUUCUUUAACAAAGAUACCAAACACAACUCACCUACUCUCUUCCAGCAGCAAGACCUCAGGCCAGUCCAUUAUGGACUACAGCGGGGUGACGCAGCUCAAGGAAGAACAUUUAUGAUCAUUUCUUUAUCAUUUCCCUUGAAGUAAUAAUCAUUAUAUUAAUCAUUUUACAGACGCGGUAGUUCUUCUGCCUUAGCGUCUCGGUCUGAUUGUAUUUCCAUGAAGAAAUGAUCAUAAAUGUUCUUCCCUGAGCUGCGGCACCCCGCUAGGUCUCCGUAGGUGCUAUUAGGUGCUGUUCUGAGCAUUAUUUGUGGCUAUAGAGUGGCGUUUUGGUUGAGGUUUGUUUAUGGCUCCUCAGACCUCUCUGUAUUUCUAUCCUGCGGUCGUUACUAAAGUUGGUAUAACUAGAGAAGCAAGCGGUCAGAA
rnacentral:lncRNA from 1 species